AUCUUUUAAAGCCCCCACCAGACACAUAUAUUCAUCAACAGGUUCAUUGAUGAACUUGGCACAGUCAAUGAUGGAAGGCAGAGUGGGGCUCCGACAAGUGAACGACGCAAGAGCCCAAAGAGUCCACCUCCUGGACAUUGCAAAAUACAUGUCGACGCCAGCGUCCGCGCUAGAAAAGGAGGAUCGGCGGCUGCAGUAUGCAGAGAUGGAGAAGGGAACUAUCUUGGGGCAUCGGCCUUGGUUAUCGAGGGAGUGACAGAUCCAGCGUCACUGGAAGCCUUGGCAUGCCGCGAGGCAUUGUGCCUGGCGGAGGAUUUGAAUAUCAGAAGUUUUGUUAUUGCUUCGGAUUGUAAACAGGUUGUGGCAGAUAUCGAUCAAAGCGCAAGAGGGAGAUAUGGAGCCAUAAUUAGCGAGAUCAAACUCAAAGCUGCAAGUUUUCAAUGUAUCUUUACUUUCGAGGGCCGUGCUACAAAUUAUGAAGCACAUAGUUUAGCAAAGUUUUCUCUUAGUAGAGGUCCUGGUCGCCACGUGUGGUUUGACGUUCCUUACAACCAGAACCGUAUCUCACUUCAUGUGGAGUUUGAUGAAUAA
rnacentral:rRNA from 1 species